UAGUUAAAACUUUCAACAACGGAUCUCUUGGCUCUAGCAUCGAUGAAGAACGCAGCGAAAUGCGAUAAGUAAUGUGAAUUGCAGAAUUCAGUGAAUCAUCGAAUCUUUGAACGCACAUUGCGCCUAGCAGUAUUCUGCUAGGCAUGCCUGUCCGAGCGUCAUUUCACCACUCAAGCUUCGCUUG
rnacentral:rRNA from 1 species